GACUUCAUGAAGUUUAAAGAUAUUGUUUCCUCAAUACAGGGAAGAUUAGCAUGGCCCCAGUGCAAGGAUGACAUGCAAAGAUGUUAAGCUUUCCAUAUUAAA